AUAUAAAUAAGCUAAGUUAAAGCUUUUAGGUUCAUACCCUAACUAUAGAAUUCAUCUUUUAUAUA
rnacentral:tRNA from 1 species